GUCCACCUGCUCCUGGCACACUCUUGCAGAGGUGGCUGGUUGCUCUUUGAGCCAGCUUGGCCUUGCCUGGCAUGCACAGGCCUCAGUGCAACAACUGUGCUGCAAGUGGAGCCACAUAAAGGAAAUGAGCAGCAGGCUCAAGAGCAGGGUGUGCGCUGCCUUUGGGGCUCCAGUCCGUGCAUCAGGGCUCCUACAGCACUGUGGGCUUCUUGGGUGCCAAGAGGCAGACCACAGGCCGUCUUGAGAAGGACUCUAUGUUCAAGUGCAGAAAGGGCCCAAUCUGGUGGGUGAACCACAUGGCCAGCUUCUGGGUGCAGGCACAGUGCCACAUCUUCCAUCACUUCCUGAUGUGCCACACCAGCACCGAAGAGAUAGCCAGGAGACAGGGCAAGAGGAAGGCUGAGAAGGAUGAGGUGACCAUAAAGGAGAACAGCAAGAGGCCCCCACCAAACAUCCACAGAUGGCCCUGGACAUCAGCCACAUUCUGAGAAACAUGUCAUGUUCUGGGAUGGCUAAGGCAUCAACCUUACCCUGUGGUAAUUCUAGUGACUAUGUUGCCACCAUCUUGGAGCUCCAUGCCCUCAUAGUGUACGGCACCUGCAGAACUGCCUGUGCAUGGACAUCCUAUACUACC
rnacentral:sRNA from 1 species